UACGUAGGGGGCAAGCGUUGUCCGGAUUUAUUGGGCGUAAAGAGCGUGUAGGCGGCUUGGAAGGUCAGCUGUGAAAACUCGAGGCUCAACCUCGAGACGUCGGUUGAAACCACCUGGCUAGAGUCCGGAAGAGGAGAGUGGAAUUCCCGGUGUAGCGGUGAAAUGCGCAGAUAUCGGGAAGAACACCCGUGGCGAAGGCGGCUCUCUGGAACGAUACUGACGCUGAGACGCGAAAGCGUGGGGAGCGAACAGG
rnacentral:rRNA from 1 species